GGGUAGUACGCGGCCAGGCGCCGGGGUAAUACGGGAGGGGUAGGGGUUGGCCGGAAUUGGUUGGAGUAAGAGGGUCGGAGGCGGAUGGUGACGUCGGGUGGGGAAGCCCGGGGCGUAACCCCGGGUCUGCAUCCGAUACGGGGAGGCUAGAGUGGGGUAGGGGAGAUCGGAAUUCCUGGGGUAGCGGUGAAAUGCGCAGAUAUCAGGAGGAACACCGGUGGCGAAGGCGGAUCUCUGGGCCAUUACUGACGCUGAGGAGCGAAAGCGUGGGGAGCGAACAGGAUUAGAUACCCCAGUAUC
rnacentral:rRNA from 1 species